AUUUAAGUAGUUUAUUUAAAAUAUUGAUUUGUGGUGUCAAUGAAGUAGAAUUCUACCUUAAAUC
rnacentral:tRNA from 1 species